AYUGGCAUCCCCUAGUAGCGGCGAGCGAAGCGGGAAGAGCUCAAAUUUAUAAUCUGGCACCUUCGGUGUCCGAGUUGUAAUCUCUAGAAAUGUUUUCCGCGUUGGACCGCACACAAGUCUGUUGGAAUACAGCGGCAUAGUGGUGAGACCCCCGUAUAUGGUGCGGACGCCCAGCGCUUUGUGAUACAUUUUCGAAGAGUCGAGUUGUUUGGGAAUGCAGCUCAAAUUGGGUGGUAAAUUCCAUCUAAAGCUAAAUAUUGGCGAGAGACCGAUAGCGAACAAGUACCGUGAGGGAAAGAUGAAAAGCACUUUGGAAAGAGAGUUAACAGUACGUGAAAUUGUUGGAAGGGAAACGCUUGAAGUCAGACUUGCUUGCUGAGCAAUCGGUUUGCAGGCCAGCAUCAGUUUUCCGGGAUGGAUAAUGGUAGAGAGAAGGUAGCAGUUUCGGCUGUGUUAUAGCUCUCUGCUGGAUACAUCUUGGGGGACUGAGGAACGCAGUGUGCCUUUGGCGGGGGUUUCGACCUCUUCACACUUAGGAUGCUGGUGGAAUGGCUUUAAACGACCCGUCUUGAAAMAACGGAMCC
rnacentral:rRNA from 1 species